rnacentral:misc_RNA from 1 species
AAGUCGUAACAAGGUUUCCGUAGGUGAACCUGCGGAAGGAUCAUUACCAAUCCAAAACUUUUACCAACCCACACUAUGUGCACAGUGAAACCUAACCGUUGCGUUUCCCAAGCGCGUUUCGGGAGGGGAAACCUCUCGUGACUCAACACUUGGGAGACCAACAACCUUUUGAAAAAAAGAAACUUUUUUUUUCUAAAACAACACUGAAACUCUUUUUCAUGUGUGUUUUUUUGAUCUUACAUGUUUACAAAUGCUGAAAGCAAAACAAAACUAAAAAAAAAUGACAACUUUUAACGGUGGAUCUCUUGGCUCGU